GACGAACGCUGGCGGCGUGCCUAAUACAUGCAAGUAGAACGCACAGUUUAUACCGUAGCUUGCUACACCAUAGACUGUGAGUUGCGAACGGGUGAGUAACGCGUAGGUAACCUGCCUGGUAGCGGGGGAUAACUAUUGGAAACGAUAGCUAAUACCGCAUAAUAUUAAUUAUUGCAUGAUAAUUAAUUGAAAGGUGCAAUUGCACCACUACCAGAUGGACCUGCGUUGUAUUAGCUAGUAGGUGAGGUAACGGCUCACCUAGGCGACGAUACAUAGCCGACCGGAUAGGGUGAGUGGCCACACUGGGACGGAGACACGGCCCAGACUGCUACGGGAGGCAGCAGUAGGGCAUCUUCAGCAAGGGACGAAAGUCUGAGCGAGCAACGCCGCGGGAGGGAAGAAGGUUGUCGGAUCGUAAAGGUCUGUUGUAAGAGAAGAACGGGUGUGAGAGUGGAAAGUUCACACUGUGACGGUAACUUACCAGAAAGCGACGGCUAACUACGUG
rnacentral:rRNA from 1 species